CGACGAGAUCAUCAAGAAUCAGUGAGCACACAAACCCAAACCACCACCAGAUUUGUUUUUCUUGUGUAUGUAUUGGUGGGUGAUGCAGGGUAUCCUGUGAUGUGCUGCUUAUAGCAAUAUCGUCUUAGCGCUAGCAAACUACAGUAGUUCUGUGAUGCAGAGGAUCUCGGAUACAACCACGCUGCCAUUUGCUAUGCACUACCUACGUUCGCGGAUAAUGGAGGAGCUGGAUACUUCGCACCUGACCGAGAGGCUGCUGCAAGGGUGGAGCGGGCUGGACGACGCUAAAGUAGUCAUCUUCGUCGGCCCCGUCACUGCGUACGCAUACUCCUUCAAUUUUUCCCUCCUACUGGUGUUGUGAUCUGGAGAAGCUCAAGUAGUCAUCUUCGUCCAUCACGUCAUUGCAUACGCAUACGCCUCUGAUUUUUGACUCCUGCUCAAAGGAAUAGGAACGUUUCCCGCAAAAAAAAAAGGAAUAGGACUGUGCUCCGCCCAAAAGACAAAAGCAAGACAAUGCAGACAAUAAAAAUCCAGCACCAACAAUGAAUAGCCGGAGUAAACAAAACAAGCAGACCAAAUCGUGUCGGCCCUCGAGGAAGGGUUGCAGUGUCGAGGAGCAGCAGGCAUGUAAAUCUGACUGCAAUUCAUCUAAUGUAGGCGCAGCUUCAUGAACGUCUGCCAAGGUUCUUAGUGAGGGCUUCCUCUAAGAUGCUUUCAGAUUUUUGAUUAUCUAGCAUAUAUAUGCAGUGAAGAUGUCUCUGAAUAGGAUACAUGGUGUUCAUGUUCUGUUAGAUAAUUUUAUUCUUGUGUAGUUUGAUUUAAAAGAUGAUAGAUCAGAAUGACAGAAUGUGAUUAGUUUUGCUUUUGCUGCUGCUACACAUGAUUUUCCUUUUGUUUUUGAUUGUUUCUUCUUCAGUUUCUUAAGGCUAGAACACUACAGUGAUUGAUUAUGCACCUGAAGGAUUAAUGAAGCUGCUUGGACUGAAUUUCUCUUUAAAAUACAUGGUGCUUGUUUGGGAUGAUUGGGCAAAAAUAGUUGGGAAUUGGUUUUUUAUUAUAUGCAAAGCUUCAAGCCUUGGGGUCUUGCUGACAUUAGUUGUUUCAAGUUCAGACCUUUUUCACCGCUGACUAUACUCUCUCAAGUUCAGGUCACGGUGGAUGGUUUGAGAGAGGAGGGAGGCAGAGCAGAGACAAACGGCGCAUUCCGUCAUGCAUGUGUGUGGAUUUGUAUCAUCCUACUACUGUGUUGCUUUGUUUUACAGUAAUAAAUAAAGAGAUGGAUCAGAUUUUCUUU